AAAGGAAUUGACGGGGACCCGCACAAGCAGAGGAGCAUGUUGUUUAAUUCGAAGCAACGCGAAAAACCUUACCAAGGCUUGACAUUUAAUGCAUAAUCUAGAAAUAGAUGAAAUUAUAGCAAUAUAACAUUAAAACAGAUGGUGCAUGGUUGUCGUCAGCUCGUGUCGUGAGAUGUUGGGUUAAGUCCCGCAACGAGCGCAACCCUUGUCAUUAGUUGCCAAUAUUAAGUUAGGGACUCUAAUGAGACUGCCGCAGACAAUGCGGAGGAAGGUGGGGAUGACGUCAAAUCAUCAUGCCUCUUACGCCUUGGGCUACAAACGUGCUACAAUGGCCAUUACAAAGAGAAGCGAGACGGUAACGUGGAGCAAACCUCAAAAAAAUGGUCUCAGUUCGGAUUGUGGGCUGAAACUCGCCCACAUGAAGUCGGAUUUGCUAGUAAUCCCGAAUCAGAACGUCGGGGUGAAUGCGUUCCCGGGUCUUGCACACACCGCCCGU
rnacentral:rRNA from 1 species